UUGAGCUUGAUCCUGGCUCAGAUUGAACGCUGGCGGCAGGCCUAACACAUGCAAGUCGAGCGGCAGCACGAGAAAGCUUGCUUUCUUGGUGGCGAGCGGCGGACGGGUGAGUAAUACAUGGGAAUCUGCCCGAUAGUGGGGGACAACGUUUCGAAAGGAACGCUAAUACCGCAUACGUCCUACGGGAGAAAGCAGGCUUAGGCUUGCGCUAUCGGAUGAGCCCAUGUCGGAUUAGCUUGUUGGUGAGGUAAUGGCUCACCAAGGCGACGAUCCGUAACUGGUCUGAGAGGAUGAUCAGUCACACCGGAACUGAGACACGGUCCGGACUCCUACGGGAGGCAGCAGUGGGGAAUAUUGGACAAUGGGGGCAACCCUGAUCCAGCCAUGCCGCGUGUGUGAAGAAGGCCUUCGGGUUGUAAAGCACUUUCAGCGAGGAGGAAAGCAGUAAGGUUAAUACCCUUAUUGUGUGACGUUACUCGCAGAAGAAGCACCGGCAAAUCCGUGCCAGCAGCGCUGCGUAAUCGACAG
rnacentral:rRNA from 1 species